rnacentral:rRNA from 1 species
AGUGAACGCUGGCGGCAGGCCUAACACAUGCAAGUCGAACGAGUGGCGGACGGGUGAGGAAUACAUCGGACUCUCCGCUGUCGUGGGGGAUAACGUGGGGAAACUUACGCAAAUACCGCAUACGCUUGUAUGCGCCGAUGUGGGUUUAGCUAGUUGGCGGGGUAAAGGCACACCAAGGCGACGAUCCGUAGCUGGUCUGAGAGGAUGAUCAGCCACACUGGAACUGAGACACGGUCCAGACUCCUACGGGAGGCAGCAGUGGGGAAUAUUGGACAAUGGGCGCAAGCCUGAUGCAGCCAUACCGCGUGGAUGAAGAAGGCCUUCGGGUUGUAAAGCACUUUUGUUGGGGAAGCGUUACCCAAAGAAUAAGCACCGGCUAACUUCGUGCCAGCAGCCGCGGUAAUAC